GCGGGCAUGGGGCAAAAAUGGGCUACGUUGGACUCCGAAUCCAAAGUUCACUGGUUCGAAUCCAGUAUCGCGCA
rnacentral:tRNA from 2 species